UGGAAGUAAAUGUUUACAAGCCAAAACCACAAAUUCCCAAUCAUGAACAGAGGUCUUUUUGACUUCACUGCAAAUUGAAGAUCACUAUAAUACCCCCAAAGGCUGGCUUUCACAUCAUCCAAAGGUCACUAUAAUAUCCCCAAAGGCUGGCUUUCACACCAUCCAAGGGUCACAGCUCACGCUACAUUGAAGCGUAUGAAACAGUGUCUGCUUGUGUUACAAACCUGAUGGAGCAGAGGUGGGGCAGGGGGGAAAUGAAAGCAAAAGGGACAGACUUGAAGCUGCACUUUUGCAAUCAACUAACAGUUAGGAAGGACUUGACUUGCUGGGGCUAAGGAAAACAAAUCUGGAGGUUCAUUUUGCCUGUGAAAUUAAAAUUAUACUUUAGUAAAUAAAGCUGACGCCAUUUAACCAUGAACCCGGUGACAUUUCCUGGCUUGCUGCAGCGUUUCUGCUUGUCUCCUUGUUACAUUUGUUUAAAAUACAAACACAGCAUUUCCACGUUGCCAGAGAAGCAAAUGUGGGCUGACUGGCUGGUUUUAGCUGCUAUGGUUUUUCUGUAACCUUUAACAAUUGUUGUGACAAAUAAGAUUCCAUGUAAGGUGCAAUUUCUAACUGUGCAGUGUUUGUGAACCACAUCCACCUUCUCCAGGUUUGGUAUUUGGUCGACUAAGUUGACAAUGUCAUUACCUUUCCUUCCAUUUAAAAAAAAAAAAAGUUAAUCUGAAUCGUGCUGAGAGUUUGGUAUGCACGCUAUACUAUUCAAGGGAGCAUUCUCUUCUAUGUCAGAAUAAUAUAUUUAUGUGUGUGAAUCAUUAUACUUGAAUUUGUGGCAACAUUUUGUAUCAAUGAAUAUAUAUGACACCCAGGCUGACUACAAUGGCUUCAAAGAGUUUAAUUUCUCUUAAAUGGACUCAGUAUCCUUGGAAUGUGCUGUUUAAGUGUUUCUGAAUUUUCUACACGCCAUUUUUACAGGUCCAUCUGUUUAUGAUGUGAUGUGAUAAACAAUCACGUUGAUUUUAUGUUUCUUUUCAAAGAAAAUGAAUGUAUAUAGUACUAAGCAGAUGAAUAAAUUAUUGAAA
rnacentral:lncRNA from 1 species